rnacentral:rRNA from 1 species
CGCAUCUGUGCAUGCAGCAUAUCAAUAAGCGGAGGAAAAGAAACUAACAAGGAUUCCCCUAGUAACGGCGAGUGAAGCGGGAAGAGCUCAAAUUUGAAAUCUUAAAGGGUUUCCCUUUACGAAUUGUAGUUUAAAGAAGUGUUUUCUGUUGAGGUUUUGGUAAAGGUUCUUUGGAAUAGGACAUCAUAGAGGGUGAGAAUCCCGUAUUUGACCUUUACUUUCAACUUUGUGAUACACUUUCAAAGAGUCGGAUUGUUUGGGAAUGCAGUCCAAAAUGGGUGGUAAAUUUCAUCUAAAGCUAAAUAUUGGCGAGAGACCGAUAGCGAACAAGUACCGUGAGGGAAAGAUGAAAGAACUUUGGAAAGAGAGUUAAACAGUACGUGAAAUUGUCAAAAGGGAAGCGUUUGACACCAGUGUUGUUUUUCUGAAAAUCAAUUAAAGAACUGUUUAUGCUAAGCUGUUUAGACUUUAUCAGCUAACUGUUUAGUUUUGAGCUUUUCUUUAAUGCACUUUUCAGUUAACAAGUCAACAUCAAUUUCUUUUGCUGUAAAAAGCUUGAGGAAGGUGGCUUGAGAUUCGUCUUAAGUGUUUAUAGCCUCUUGCCUAUGCAGUCGGAGAGAUUGAGGUCUGCAGCGUAGAUCCUUCGGGGCUAAAUGCAUUUGUGCUAAGUUAUAGCAUUUUAUAGACAACUUGUUGACUAUGAUUUGUCUUGUAGCUUACUCGCUUAUGUUAUUUUACCUACGCUUAGGAUGUUGAAUCUGUGCGAGACUAC